rnacentral:rRNA from 1 species
UACGUAGGGGGCAAGCGUUGUCCGGAAUUAUUGGGCGUAAAGGGUUCGCAGGCGGUCUGAUAAGUCAGAUGUGAAAGGCAAUGGCUCAACCAUUGUAAGCAUUUGAAACUGUCAGACUUGAGUUAAGGAGAGGAAAGUGGAAUUCCUAGUGUAGCGGUGAAAUGCGUAGAUAUUAGGAGGAAUACCAGUGGCGAAGGCGACUUUCUGGACUUAUACUGACGCUGAGGAACGAAAGCGUGGGGAGCAAACAGG